UUAUGAAUUCAUUUUUGCUCCCAUGAGAGUUCCGUGGAAUUUCCAUGGAAUUUGUGCUUUCGAGUUGUUUGUGCUGAAACGCAUUCUCUCGUAUAAUACCCCGUACACUUUGAAAUGGCGAUGCCACAAUUUACCCCGCAGCAGAGUGCAUGGUAUCAGAGUUCCUCCGUAGCAACAACAUAAACUUGGUUCGCCAAAGUUUCACGAAAGAAUAUCCAGAUGUACGAUGCCUUUCACGUGCGAAUACGUGAAGGGCAUCGUACAUCUGGGUAUUCGUUCGUAAAACUUUGGCGAACCAAGUUUAUGUUGUUGCUACGGAGGAACUCUGAUAGCAUGCACUCUGC
rnacentral:lncRNA from 1 species